CCCAGACUCCUACGGGAGGCAGCAGUGGGGGAUAUUGCACAAUGGGGGGAACCCUGAUGCAGCGACGCCGCGUGGGUGAAGGAGCGUUUCGGCGCGUAAAGCCCUAUCGGCAGGGAAGAAGGAGGACGGUACCUGACUAAGAAGCCCCGGCUAACUACGUGCCAGCAGCCGCGGUAAUACGUAGGGGGCAAGCGUUAUCCGGAUUUACUGGGUGUAAAAGGGGCGCAGACGGCAGCGCAAGCCAGGAGUGAAAGCCCGUGGCCCAACCCCGGGACUGCUCUUGGAACUGCGCGGCUGGAGUGCAGGAGGGGCAGGCGGAAUUCCUGGUGUAGCGGUGAAAUGCGUAGAUAUCAGGAGGAACACCGGUGGCGAAGGCGGCCUGCUGGACUGCGACUGACGUUGAGGCCCGAAAGCGUGGGGAGCAAACAGGAUUAGAUACCCGCGU
rnacentral:rRNA from 1 species